rnacentral:rRNA from 1 species
UACAGAGGUCCCAAGCGUUUGUUCGGAUUCAUUGGGCGUAAAGGGUGCGUAGGCGGCGCGGUAAGUCGGGGUGUGAAAUCUCGGAGCUUAACUCCGAAACUGCAUUCGAUACUGCCGUGCUUGAGGACUGGAGAGGAGACUGGAAUUUACGGUGUAGCGGUGAAAUGCGUAGAUAUCGUAAGGAAGACCAGUGGCGAAGGCGGGUCUCUGGACAGUUCCUGACACUGAGACACGAAGGCCAGGGGAGCAAACGGG